ensembl:lncRNA LINC00970 long intergenic non-protein coding RNA 970
GAGAGAACAGGAGAAGAAGGAGGAGGUACAGAAGGACUUGGUGUGCUAUUAUGCACAUUUCACAGAUGGCACAGAGUGGGGAAGUCAGUGACCCAAGGUGGCAAGAUAAGGAGACUGAAGCAUCUAGAGUUGGAGUAAUUUCCACAAGAUCACAGAGGCAAGAUUUCACUCUGUCACCCAGACUGGAGUGCAGUGGCACAAACAUAGCUCACUGAAGCCUCAAACUCCUGGGCUCAAGAGAUCCUUCUGCUUCAGCCUCCUGAGUAGCUGGGACUUCAGCAAUGAGGACUCAUUCUGUCCAGGCUGUCUCAGAGUCCUGGGCUCAAGUGAUCCUUCAUCUCAGCCUCCCUAGUAGCUGGGACUACAAGUAUCUGCCACUGUUCCCAGCUCAACUGGAUUUUUAGCAGAACAAAAUCUGGGUGUUUUCAAUGACACUAUUCCCUACCUGCCUCUGCAAACAAUAAAGUCCUUACAUUGUUAGAUUGACUUUAGGAUCUUGGUUAGAGCCUGCUAUCACUCUGUGUCUGUGCCCUGUUAUGGGAACAGAAGUUUCUCCUCAUUCCAGAUUUUAGUUAGUAAAUUGGGAAAAUUUCCUUCCUGGCUGUUGUGCCUGAAGCUAUAGCUUGUUGGUUUCUGAUUUUUUUUUUUGUCUUUUACAUCUGAUAACAUAUUUAACUCUAUUGUCCACUUGCAGCUCAGGCUUGACUGACUUGUGUUUGUAUAAUUCUAGUAAAUAAAAUAGCCCCCAAAAAAGACUUUUGUGAAAACUAUGGUAGAUCACAACCUUCAACAAAUCUUCAUCUUGCAAUGCAGGGAAAAGGCACAUCAAUAUUUACUGGAGUCAGAAAACACUCCCCAGCAGGUGCAUAAUUACUUUUAUGAAGGAUGCCUGUGACUCAUUCCUGCCCUGCCUACACAGGACGCCUCUCCUCAUUAGCUUGCGAUAUUAUCUGUCUUUGUAUGAAGGUCAUUUUGAAUCUAACAGCCAGGAUAAUCACAUGGAAGAAUUACUGGAAAAAUCCCCACUCAUGUAAUUGCUAACAUAAUAAAGUUUCAAAUUAGAUAUCAAA